rnacentral:rRNA from 1 species
UGCAUAGGAAUCUACCUAGUAGUAUAGGAUAGCCACUAGAAAUGGUGGGUAAUACUGUAUAAUCCCUGCGGGGGAAAGAUUUAUCGCUACUAGAUGAGCCUAUGUCAGAUUAGCUAGUUGGUGGGGUAAUGGCCCACCAAGGCUGUGAUCUGUAGCUGGUCUGAGAGGAUGAUCAGCCACACUGGAACUGAGACACGGUCCAGACUCCUACGGGAGGCAGCAGUGGGGAAUAUUGGACAAUGGGCGCAAGCCUGAUCCAGCUAUGCCGCGUGAGUGAGGAAGGCCUUAGGGUUGUAAAACUCUUUCAGUAGGGAAGAUAAUGACGGUACCUACAGAAGAAGUCCCGGCAAACUCCGUGCCAGCAGCCGCGGUAAUACGGAGGGGGCAAGCGUUGUUCGGAAUUAUUGGGCGUAAAGGGCAUGUAGGCGGUUUGGUAAGUUAAAGGUGAAAUACCAGGGCUUAACCCUGGGGCUGCUUUUAAUACUGCAGGU